rnacentral:rRNA from 1 species
GACGAACGCUGGCGGCGUGCUUAACACAUGCAAGUCGAACGGAAAGGCCCUGCUUUUGUGGGGUGCUCGAGUGGCGAACGGGUGAGUAACACGUGAGUAACCUGCCCUUGACUUUGGGAUAACUUCAGGAAACUGGGGCUAAUACCGGAUAGGAGCUCCUGCUGCAUGGUGGGGUUGGAAGUUUCGGCGGUUGGGGAUGG